rnacentral:lncRNA from 1 species
UUUGGUUAAUUUUAAAAAAAAAAUUUGGUUAAAUUUAGUCAAAUAGUUUCAGAAGAAUUUUGUAAAAGGACGACUGACGACUAGUGAUGAGAGAAGCUCACUUGGCCUUUUGGACCAGGUGAGCUAAAAAUACAUUCAAGAUCAACAAUUUACCAGUAUAACUUGAGUCCGAUAUUAUUUAUAGAUUAUGCAAGUAACCGGC